UACGUAGGGGGCAAGCGUUGUCCGGAAUCAUUGGGCGUAAAGAGCGUGUAGGCGGCUUGGCAAGUCUGGUGUGAAAUCUUGCGGCUCAACCGCAAGCGGGCACUGGAAACUGCCUCGCUAGAGUCCGGAAGAGGGGAGCGGAAUUCCUGGUGUAGCGGUGGAAUGCGCAGAUAUCAGGAAGAACACCCGUGGCGAAGGCGGCUCUCUGGGACGGUACUGACGCUGAGACGCGAAAGCGUGGGGAGCGAACAGG
rnacentral:rRNA from 1 species